CUUGGAAUUUAAUUUCAUGGAUGUGUUUGUCUAAGAUCCAGAUCUUUCCUUUCCAAAACUCUGUCUGAUGAUCUCAGAAACUGUUCAGGCUCUAAAACUCAAGCCUUGGGCUGCUGAGGCCUCUGGGUCCAUGAGGUUAUUCCACCCCUUAGCAGCCAUCUAAUCUUGGUACUUGCUCUCAAUUUCAAGCUCAGUGGGUUGUGGUCUUGGUUGUUGGUUUGUUUGCAUUUGUCUCUCAUUUCAUCUGGAAGACAGAAAUGGAACCCCAUACCAUGACUAAGAGAUUCAGCACUCAAGAGGAAUUGCCUAAGUCUGUCUACCUCCUCAGCUGAGCUUCUCCAGUAGUGGGUUUUUAUGGCUUCCUACCACGCUGCUUCUCUUUCUACCAUGUGAGAACCGGUGCUGCGGACAGAGAUUCCAGCCCGUCUAUGGAAGGCAGCCCCCUUUAACCAACACAUGAUUUGGAAUCACUUAGAAGGUGUUUGUGUAUCCAUGAAAGCAUUUCAAAAUGGCUUACCCAAUGAGAGGAGUUCUAUCCUGAAUGUGGGCAGGACAUUUCAUAAUAGAAAGUAGACUUGAAGGUAAGCAUAGACAUAGACCUCUCUGUCUUCUAAUUAUAGAUGCAAUGUAACCAGCUAUGCCAUGUUUCUAUCUCUGCAACUUCCCUAUCAUGACAGACUGUAUCCUCAAACUGUGAGCCAAAAACCCCUUCUUUCAAUAAGUUGCUUCUAGUCAAGUACUUGGUCACAACAACAAGAAAAGAAAUGAAUACAGACCCUGAAUAAUUCUUAUUCAGGGAUUUAUUAUCCAAGAAAUGAGACUGUUCUGUACUUUCCUCUCAAGUGACUCAUCCAUUAGUCAGACCCAUCAAAUGCAAUCUUUACACAUUCCUGGUGCCUUUCCACCCAUGGAGAUCAAAGUUACCAAGAGUCAUUGACUUGGGUUAUAACAGACAUUUGGAGUUUGGUAAAAAUUAAUGAAGCACACAGUGUGGUUCCAUGCAAGGAAACAAAGGAAAUGAGCUGCCUUAGGCAAAUGCUCUUUACCUCUGUGAGGUAAGUUCAAAUGUCACUUCUCCAAUGCCAGUCUGAGACCCUGUCCUCACUGCAUACACCAUUUGAUAUUUAUCUACUCUUACUCCAGAUUACUAUAAUGCACUGUGAAUGUCUGCUUUUAUCACUAUAACAGCUUGGAGUAUUGAAAACACUGAGAUACUGAAUGUAUGAAUGAACAAAUGGAUAAAUGAAUGAAUGAUGUUAGUUUAGUUGGCUGUGAUGUGAGGAAAUUUCAGUGGUAGUUGAGGGAUUGGAUUAUGAGGCUCCUAAAACCCCCUCUACAGAAGCCAGCUUCCUUCUACACUUAUUCAUUCAUUCAUUCAUUCAUUCUCUCUCUCCCCCUCUCUCUCUGUCUCUCUCUUCCUUUUAUUCUUUCUU